UACAGAGGUCUCAAGCGUUGUUCGGAUUCAUUGGGCGUAAAGGGUGCGUAGGUGGCGCCGUAAGUCGGGUGUGAAAUUUCGGAGCUUAACUCCGAAACUGCAUUCGAUACUGCGGUGCUUGAGGACUGGAGAGGAAGGCGGAAUUCUCGGUGUAGAGGUGAAAUUCGUAGAUAUCGAGAGGAACACCGGUGGCGAAGGCGGCCUUCUGGACAGUGACUGACGCUGAGACGCGAAAGCGUGGGGAGCAAACAGG
rnacentral:rRNA from 1 species